rnacentral:rRNA from 1 species
UAGUACCUGUGAAGAUGCAGGUUACCCGCGACAGGACGGAAAGACCCCGUGGAGCUUUACUGUAGCCUGAUAUUGAAUUUUGGUACAGUUUGUACAGGAUAGGCGGGAGCCAUUGAAACCGGAGCGCUAGCUUCGGUGGAGGCGCUGGUGGGAUACCGCCCUGACUGUAUUGAAAUUCUAACCUACGGGUCUUAUCGACCCGGGAGACAGUGUCAGGUGGGCAGUUUGACUGGGGCGGUCGCCUCCUAAAGUGUAACGGAGGCGCCCAAAGGUUCCCUCAGAAUGGUUGGAAAUCAUUCGUAGAGUGCAAAGGCAUAAGGGAGCUUGACUGCGAGACCUACAAGUCGAGCAGGGACGAAAGUCGGGCUUAGUGAUCCGGUGGUUCCGCAUGGAAGGGCCAUCGCUCAACGGAUAAAAGCUACCCCGGGGAUAACAGGCUUAUC